ensembl:snoRNA
CCUCCUCUUCUUGGCGGGGAUCGGGUGUGCGGUCUCGAUCCCCGUAAUGUAUGGAGGCAGACGGAAAGGGCUCCGGCCCCCUCGGUGUCAUGUCUUCGAUGCCGGCGGCCUCCAGUCCGCCGGUUCUAUCCUCAAACGCCGGGACACGA